AUGGAUGGAUGGAUGAAUGUGGAAGUAAAAACAGGGGAAUGUUGGCGUUCUUGGAUAGAAUUGUCAGUCCAAAGAAAGAAAACGAGAGAAGAAAAGAAACUGAAAAAGGAAUGUAAUAUGUUUGUGUAUCUGCUGUAUAUGCAGGAAAGAAUUCAGUGGUGGUGUUUGGACUCUGCAGAAAUGCUGCUUAGUACAAAAGAAUCAACGAAUCUUGUGCGGGAACGCGGCGGCGCUGGGCAUAAGAAAGGCUGUCUUGAGCUGCGUCGCCACAGCCACGUCGCAGCAGACCCCUCCGUCUCCGUGCCCGGGCGCUCUCCCCUGCUCCAGCGCUGCAAUCCGGGCCGAAUCAGCACCUUCCUCCGUCGUCGAUCUGCGGCCCCUUCAUGCUUCAUGCCCAUGGUGUGGUCGACAUACCGCCCCGACACGCUGCACUGUGCCUAG
rnacentral:rRNA from 1 species